CAGCCGCAGCGCUUGUCGGGAAGGUACAAAUAUCUGGGAAGCUGCGCUGCUUCCUGUCAGCGAGCCCCGUGCUGUACGGACUGGAGGAAAAGUCCUAAAACCCCACCGGCCCGAGGACAAUGAUUGCACCACUGCAGAAUCUGUCCGUCUGAACGUGUCUUCUCCAUUGAAUAUCUGGGUGCCACUGUGUGCUGCCACUCAUCAGCAUGCCAUCAUGCAUUGUGCGUGGCUGCAACUACUCCUGGUACAAGAAGGAUCCCAACAUAACGUUACAUAGUUUUCCAAGAGACCUAGACACAAUCAAGACCUGGCUUUUACAAACCAAGCAAGAUUUUGGAAACCUAGAUGAGUUUUCCCAACGUAUCCUGGAGGGAACCAAAACCGGCAUGUAUCGCAUCUGUUCUCAGCAUUUCACUGCUGACUCCUAUGAGCGAUGUGGACUUAUAACAUAUGUGAAAAAGGGAGCCGUUCCCACUAUAUUUCCUGCCCAUACACCUGGCAUGAACACCUCACAAAAUAAACCUGUAGCACCCAAAAAGAGGAAAGCUCCGACCGUGUCAUUACCUAGGGCAGCAGGGGCAGAUGUAGCCGUUCUCCAGCCCAUCAUUGGUAAAGAUGGAAACUACGCCACUGCCAGUCCAUUCGUUUCAGGCAUUCAUUUCAGGACCGUGUCAUUGCCAGUGACAAAGAAAAAGGAUUCUGGUUUAUCUAAAAGAGAUGUCGGGACUUGUACAGACUAUUUCCCUGGUCAGGUUCACAAGCAGACUAACACGGAACCUUUCUGGGGGACACAGAAUAAAGAGGUUCAGUGCUGUUCACGAAAAGCACAUCAAAGUAUUGGACUACAGUGCAAUCUGGCAGACCUGCCUCCGCUAGAGGGAUGGUGGUCUGAGAGCCACGGCUCCUCUCCAGACAGAGGAACACCUCCCAACGAUGAGGCAGUUGUUCCUUUAUCCGUGACUCACAGGAAACUAAGUAUUAAUCAUUAGUGUCAGCCCUUACACAGAACCUGCCUCAAGCCAAAGCUUUUCGGUGACAAAUGCACCACAGUCAGGGCCAGUUUGACGUCCUCUGAAACAACCUGACAAACUACAUGUCGCAUCCAGAAUACUUUAUGACCUUAUUAAUUCGAAGAUCUGUAAGUUGUCGAUGGAGGAUUGAAGCGGUGGGCGCUCCGAGCACCAGCUGUGCACCCCCUUUAAGGGCAUUUGUCAGCAGAUUUGUACCUAUGACACUGACUGACCUGUUACAUGGACACCUGGCAGCGUGUUGGUCCCAUGUUCAUAUGUGCCCGCAUUGCUAAGAAAAAUUAUGUUUUAAUAUAAGCAAAUGAGCCUGUAACCUAGGGGCUCUACUGUCUGCAACUGCCACGCCCUCUGUACUUUGACAGGGCCAGGCAUCAUGACAUUUUCCUUGCCUGGCACCGUCAAUCAAAGUAGAGAGGGCGCAGCAGUUGCAGAGAGAGCAGAGUCUCUAGAUGAAACAGCAACACCCCUUUUGCUCCCAGAGACCUAUUUGCAUAUAUUAAAACAUCAUCAUCAUCAUGUUUCUCAGCACUGCGAUCACAUAUGAACAUGGGACCAACAGAGAUGUCUUCAGCUGCCAAGUGCAGAUCUGCAGACAGAUGCCCUUUAUCAGGUGCGCCAAGAUGUUAGCCUUGUUAAUCAGCAGCCUUAUUCAUCAUUGUUUCUCUCACAGGAACCAGCUGGAGAAGACAUGCUGUCUGACAGGGAUGUCCUACCAAUCUGCUGACUUCAUGUUCUACUGUAGACUGCAGAGCUGGUGUUCUCCAUGUCGAGGAGCCGUUCAGCUGGUGCCCUGAGUGAAUGCUGAUUUAUUCCUUUAUGGACAUAUUCAACCCUGUCGACUGCAAGAAAAUGUUCACACUUUCGAGAAACACAAAUAAAACCCCGAUUAUUUCUCUACAGCCAUAUAUUUUCCUGAAAGUAGACAUCUAGCACAUUGCUAGUGGAUGAAGCUUUCUAGUUCAGGCUCCUAACAACUGAUCGGUGGGGGUGUGGAAUGUCUGAUACGAUUUUUGAUGACUUGUUCAAAAUAAAGGUUUGUGCUUUA